AAACCAACAGGGAUUGCCUUAGUAACGGCGAGUGAAGCGGCAAGAGCUCAAAUUUGAAAUCUGGUACCUUCGGUGCCCGAGUUGUAAUUUGAAGAAGGUAUACUUUAGUUUGGCCCCCGUCUAUGUUCCUUGGAACAGGACGUCAUAGAGGGUGAGAAUCCCGUGCGAUGGGGUGUCCAUUCUUUGUAAGUUUCCUUCGACGAGUCGAGUUGUUUGGGAAUGCAGCUCUAAGUGGGUGGUAAAUUCCAUCUAAAGCUAAAUAUUGGCGAGAGACCGAUAGCGAACAAGUACAGUGAUGGAAAGAUGAAAAGAACUUUGAAAAGAGAGUGAAAAAGUACGUGAAAUUGUUGAAAGGGAAGGGUAUUUGAUCAGACUUGGUAUUAGAAUAUGGCAGCUUUCGGGUUGUCCUCUAUUCUUUUACUGGGCCAGCAUCGGUUCGGAUGGCAAGAUAAUUACGUUUGAAUGUGGCUCCUUGGAGUGUUAUAGCUUUCGUAGAUAUUGCCUGUCUGGACCGAGGACUGCGUCUUUUGACUAGGAUGCUGGCGUAAUGAUUAAAUACCGC
rnacentral:rRNA from 1 species